GCCGGGCUGGCGGAAUCGGUAGACACAACGGAUUUAAAAUCCUGCGGUAGGUGACUACCGUGCCGGUUCAAGUCCGGCCCUCGGCA
rnacentral:tRNA from 1 species